UUAAGAUACUAAGAGCAUACGGUGGAUGCCUUGGCGAUAUCUGCCGACGAAGGACGUGACAAGCUGCGAAAAGCUGCGGAGAGAUGCAAAUAAUCGGCGACCCGCAGACAUCCGAAUGGAGAAAUCCGGCUGUGAUGAUGCACAGCCAUCCAUGCCCAAGAGCAUGAGAAGGGAACCGGGCGAACUGAAACAUCUAAGUAACCCGAGGAAAAGAAAUCAAACGAGAUACCCCAAGUAGCGGCGAGCGAACAGGGAAGAAGCCCAAACCGGUGAAGGAAACUUUGCCGGGGUUGAGGACCAUCAGACCCGCGAAGAACCUUAGCCGAAACUGUUGGGAAACAGUGCCAAAGACAGUGAAAGCCUGGUAGGCGAAAAAGAGAAACGCGGAGAUGGCACCAGAGUACCGCGGGACACGAGAAAUCCCGUGGGAAACAGGGGGGACCACCCUCCAAGGCAAAACACAGAUAUCGACCGAUAGCGCAUAGUACCAUGAGGGAAAGGUGAAAAGCACCCCGGGAGGGGAAUGAAAGAGAACCUGAAACCGUAUGUUUACAAGCAGUCGGAGACCGCUUAAUAAUAAGGUCGACGGCGUGCCUAUUGAAGAAUGAACCGGCGAGUUACGAAGCCUGGCAAGGUUAAGCAGGAAAUGCGGAGCCGAAGCGAAAGCGAGUCUUAAGAGGGCGCAAGUCAGGAAGCGUAGACCCGAAACCACAGUGAUCUACCCAUGUCCAGGUUGAAACACAGGUAAAAAUGUGUGGAGGACCGAACCUAUAUCCGUUGAAAAGGGUUAGGAUGAGGUGUGGGUAGGGGUGAAAUUCCAAUCGAACGUGGAGAUAGCUGGUUCUCCCCGAAAUAGCUUUAGGGCUAGCCUCAGGGAAAAGAUUGCAGGCGGUAGAGCACUGAUCAGGAGAGGGACCUACCCGGUUACCAAACCCAGUCAAACUCCGAAUGGCUGCAAUCAUACCUGGGAGUCAGACUGCGACUAAUAAGGGCCGCAGUCAAAAGGGAAACAGCCCAGACCAUCAGCUAAGGUCCCCAAUGCCGUGCUAAGUGGCGAAGGAUGUGGCAUUUCAUAAACAACCAGGAUGUUGGCUCAGAAGCAGCCACCAUUUAAAGAGUGCGUAAUAGCUCACUGGUCGAGAGACGCUGCGCCGAAAAUGUCCGGGGCUCAAGCACGGAACCGAAGCUAUGGCAUGAUAGCAAUAUCAUGGGUAGGGGAGCGUUCUUAUAAGGAAGAAGCAUGACCGGAAGGACAUGUGGACAAAUAAGAAGUGAGAAUGCCGGUAUGAGUAUCGAAAAGAAAGGUGAGAAUCCUUUCCACCGAAAGCCCGAGGGUUCCUGAGCAACGAUCGUCGACUCAGGGUAAGUCGGGACCUAAGCCGAGGCGAGAAGCGUAGGCGAUGGACAACAGGUUGAAAUUCCUGUACCGGAUCAAGUCGAUCGAGCGAAGGAGCGACGCAGGAGGGCACAUGAUCGCGCGGGUGGAAGAGCGCGUCCAAGUGCGUAUGUUGCUGCAGAGGAAAACCCCUGCAGCUAAAAGCAGAGACAUGAUGGGGAGUUAAAGGGAACUUUGACGAACUCAUGAAUCCCACACUGCCAAGAAAAACUUCUAGCGAGACAAGAUCCGCCCGUACCGUAAACCGACACAGGUAGGCGGGGAGAGAAUCCUAAGGUGCGCGGGAAAACCCUCGUUAAGGAACUCGGCAAAUUGCAUCCGUAACCUAGGGAGAAGGAUGGCCCCCGGUCAGUGAAGAGCAGAAACGCUCAGAGCUAAAAGGGGCGGCAGAAAAGAGGCCCAAGCAACUGUUUACCAAAAACACAGGUGCCUGCGAAAGCGAAAGCUGAAGUAUAGGUGCUGACGCCUGCCCGGUGCCGGAAGGUUAAGGAGAGAAGUUAGCGAAAGCGAAGCAUCGAACUGAAGCCCCGGUGAACGGCGGCCGUAACUAUAACGGUCCUAAGGUAGCGAAAUUCCUUGUCGGGUAAGUUCCGACCCGCAUGAAAGGCGUAAUGAUUUGGGCACUGUCUCAACGAGGGGCCCGGUGAAAUUGAAAUACCUGUGAAGAUGCAGGUUACCCGCGACUGGACAGAAAGACCCCAUGGAGCUUCACUGCAGCUUGAGAUUGAAUCCCGGUGACAGAUGCACAGGAUAGGUGGGAGGCGCCGAAGCAUUGCCCUAGGGCGGUGCGGAGCCGAUGUUGGGAUACCACCCUUCUGUUGCUGAGAUUCUAACGCGAGGAGUAACGACCCUGCGGACCCUCUCAGGCAGGCGGUUUGACUGGGGCGGUCGCCUCCGAAAGAGUAACG
rnacentral:rRNA from 1 species